rnacentral:rRNA from 1 species
CAGCCGCCGCGGUAAUACAGAGGGUGCGAGCGUUAAUCGGAUUUACUGGGCGUAAAGCGUGCGUAGGCGGCUUUUUAAGUCGGAUGUGAAAUCCCUGAGCUUAACUUAGGAAUUGCAUUUGAUACUGGGAAGCUAGAGUAUGGGAGAGGAUGGUAGAAUUCCAGGUGUAGCGGUGAAAUGCGUAGAGAUCUGGAGGAAUACCGAUGGCGAAGGCAGCCAUCUGGCCUAAUACUGACGCUGAGGUACGAAAGCAUGGGGAGCAAACAGGAUUAGAUACCCCUGUAGUCCCUGUCUCUUAUAC